rnacentral:rRNA from 1 species
UACGGAGGGUGCAAACGUUGCUCGGAAUCAUUGGGCGUAAAGCGCACGUAGGUGGUUUGUUAAGUCGGGUGUGAAAUCCCUGGGCUCAACCCAGGAAGUGCACUCGAAACUGGCAGACUUGAGUACUGAAGAGGGUCGCGGAAUUCCCGGUGUAGAGGUGAAAUUCGUAGAUAUCGGGAGGAACACCAGUGGCGAAGGCGGCGACCUGGGCAGAUACUGACACUGAGGUGCGAAAGCGUGGGGAGCAAACAGG